CUGGGCGUCUUCUUCAAUAAAGGUUAUAGAUCCUUCAAUUCUUUGCCGCUUGAGCGGUCCGGCCGAUCCACUGGUCGCUCCCUUUCGGGGCCCUCCAGAGAUGGUGUUAAUGAUCAUUUGAGAGAAAGGAGGGUCAGUACAGAUGCCCUUAUCAUAAACAGGGGGAGCGUGGCAGAGAUCUUCGACCCACCGAUUCAUCUCCUUGAGUCUUCGAUCCAUGAGGUCCUCUCGACUGUGAGUCUUGAGGGUCUUCUGACAGAAUGGAGGUAGAGAUCCUCUGGGGGUGGAAUCAUGAUUAGACUGAGGGCUCUCCACCCUCGGAUUCUCCUUUCCGGGGAAGACGGGGCGACUGACCCAAGUGGCCCGCCCUACUAUCGGAUUUCGACACUUCGAUGAUGUUCUUUCCAGUCGCACUGACACCUACGGCUGUUGUG
rnacentral:lncRNA from 1 species